rnacentral:rRNA from 1 species
UGAGGAACCUGCCCCAGACUCUGGGAUAACUCGGGGAAACCCGAGCUAAUACCGGAUACCGUCUCCUUUGGGCAUCCUUUGGAGACGAAAGAAUUUCGGUUUGGGAGGGCCUCGCGGCCUAUCAGCUUGUUGGUGGGGUAAUGGCCUACCAAGGCAACGACGGGUAGCUGGUCUGAGAGGACGAUCAGCCACACUGGGACUGAGACACGGCCCAGACUCCUACGGGAGGCAG